AGCCAAUACGUAGGCCCCAAUCCAAUUGACACCAGUCAAACAAUCGAUUCUACAACAACCGGUGUAUUAUAAUCAAUUUAAAGUACUACACCUAAAUAUGAAAUUUAUUGUUGAUAUAGAGGAAGAAGGGAAUUAACUAUUCUAUUCUUACUAUUGUAGAGUAAUUGACAACAGGAAUUUUAUAUACCUGAGUUCGAGAAUUAGUAAUUUGUAAAGAACCCUAGGAUUUAUGUUGCCUGCGUGAUAGGAAGCCUCUGUUGAGCGAACUGUUCUGUUUUUUUUUGUUUAAGGCAAAAGCCUUUCGUCCCUUUUGGGUGAAUGACAGAACGUGGGUAUUC
rnacentral:lncRNA from 1 species